rnacentral:rRNA from 1 species
AUCAUUAAUUAUGUUAAAGCGCCUUACCUCUUAGGGUUUCCUCUGGGGUAAGUGAUUGCUUCUACACUGUGAAAAUUUGGCUGAGAGACUCAGACUGGUCAUGGGUAGACCUAUCUGGGGUUUGAUCGAUGCCACUCCUGGUUUCAGGAGCACCCUUCAUAAUAAACCUAGAAAUUCAGUAUUAUAAAGUUUAAUAAAAAACAACUUUUAACAAUGGAUCUCUUGGUUCUCGCAUCGAUGAAGAACGUAGCAAAGUGCGAUAACUAGUGUGAAUUGCAUAUUCAGUGAAUCAUCGAGUCUUUGAACGCAGCUUGCACUCUAUGGUUUUUCUAUAGAGUACGCCUGCUUCAGUAUCAUCACAAACCCACACAUAACAUUUGUUUAUGUGGUAAUGGGUCGCAUCGCUGUUUUAUUACAGUGAGCACCUAAAAUGUGUGUGAUUUUCUGUCUGGCUUGCUAGGCAGGAAUAUUACGCUGGUCUCAGGAUCUUUUUCUUUGGUUCGCCCAGGAAGUAAAGUACAAGAGUAUAAUCCAGCAACUUUCAAACUAUGAUCUGAAGUCAGGUGGGAUUACCCGCUGAACUUAAGCAUAUCAAUAAGCGGAGGAAAAGAAAAUAACAAUGAUUUCCCUAGUAACGGCGAGUGAAGAGGAAAGAGCUCAAAGUUGGAACCUGUUUGGCCUAGCUAAACCGGAUUGUAGACUGUAGAAGWGUUUKCCAUGCAAGSMGAGUAAAUDAGUGSWCUGGAGCAGG